GACGAACGCUGGCGGCGUGGAUUAGGCAUGCAAGUCGGACGGUAGGGCUUUAUCGUAAGAUAGAGUUUGAGAGUGGCGAACGGGUGAGUAACACGUAGGAAUCUACCCUUAAGACGGGGACAACCCAGGGAAACUUGGGCUAAUACCGGAUGAGAGUGCGAGAGAUUGCAUUUAAAAGGAUGGCGAAAGUUGUCGCUUAGGGAUGAGCCUGCGGUCUAUUAGUUAGUUGGUGAGGUAAGAGCUCACCAAGGCGAUGAUAGAUAGGCGGCCUUAACGGGUGGUCGCCCACACUGGGAUUGAGAUACGGCCCAGACUCCUACGGGAGGCAGCAGUCGAGAAUAGUCUACAAUGGCCGGAAGGCUGAUAGUGCGACGCCGCGUGAACGAGGGAGCCCUUCGGGGUGUAAAGUUCUUUUGCCGGGGACGAUAAUGACGGUACCCGGAGAAUAAGUCCCGGCUAACUUCGUGCCAGCAGCCGCGGUAAGGAGUAGUACA
rnacentral:rRNA from 1 species